rnacentral:rRNA from 1 species
GACGAACGCUGGCGGCGUGCUUAACUCAUGCAAGUCGAACGCUGAAGCUUGGUGCUUGCACUGGGUGGAUGAGUGGCGAACGGGUGAGUAAUACGUGAGUAACCUGCCCUUGACUCUGGGAUAAGCCUGGGAAACUGGGUCUAAUACUGGAUACGACAUGCCACUGCAUGGUGGUGUGUGGAAAGGGUUUUACUGGUUUUGGAUGGGCUCACGGCCUAUCAGCUUGUUGGUGGGGUAAUGGCCUACCAAGGCGACGACGGGUAGCCGGCCUGAGAGGGUGACCGGCCACACUGGGACUGAGACACGGCCCAGACUCCUACGGGAGGCAGCAGUGGGGAAUAUUGCACAAUGGGCGGAAGCCUGAUGCAGCGACGCCGCGUGAGGGAUGACGGCCUUCGGGUUGUAAACCUCUUUCAGCACGGAAGAAGCGAGAGUGACGGUACGUGCAGAAGAAGCGCCGGCUAACUACGUG